UACGAAGGGGGCUAGCGUUGCUCGGAAUCACUGGGCGUAAAGGGUGCGUAGGCGGGUCUUUAAGUCAGGGGUGAAAUCCUGGAGCUCAACUCCAGAACUGCCUUUGAUACUGAUGAGCUAGAGGGAGAUAGGGGUAUGCGGAACUUCCGGUGGAGCGGUGAAAUGCGUUGAUAUCGGAAGGAACGCCGGUGGCGAAAGCGGCGUACUGGAUCUCUUCUGACGCUGAGGCGCGAAAGCUAGGGGAGCAAACGGG
rnacentral:rRNA from 1 species